rnacentral:rRNA from 1 species
CCUAGAGUAUGUAUCAUGGCUCAGAUUGAACGCUGGCGGCAGGCCUGACACAUGCAAGUCGAGCGGCAGCACGGGUACUUGUACCUGGUGGCGAGCGGCGGACGGGUGAGUAAUGCAUAGGAAUCUGCUUAGUAGUGGGGGAUAACGUCAGGAAACGGGCGAUAAUACCGCAUACGUCCUACGGGAGAAAGUGGGGGAUCUUCGGACCUCACGUUAUUAGAUGAGCCUAGGUCGGAUUAGCUAGUUGGUGAGGUAAUGGCUCACCAAGGCGACGAUCCGUAACUGGUCUGAGAGGAUGAUCAGUCACUCUGGAACUGAGACACGGUCCAGACUCCUACGGGAGGCAGCAGUGGGGAAUAUUGGACAAUGGGCGAAAGCGUGAUCCAGCCAUGCCGCGUGUGGAAGAAGGUCUUCGGAUUGUAAAGCACUUUAAGUUGGGAGGAAGGGCGAGUUACCUAAUACGUGAUUUUUGACGUACCGACUGAACGCGCGAUCGCAAAGCCGUCU